AACGAACGCUGGCGGCAUGCCUAACACAUGCAAGUCGAACGAGUUCUUCGGGUCUAGUGGCGCACGGGUGCGUAACGCGUGGGAAUCUGCCCUUUGGCUCGGAAUAACAGUUGGAAACGACUGCUAAUACCGGAUGAUGACGAAAGUCCAAAGAUUUAUCGCCAGAGGAUGAGCCCGCGUAGGAUUAGCUAGUUGGUGUGGUAAAGGCGCACCAAGGCGACGAUCCUUAGCUGGUCUGAGAGGAUGAUCAGCCACACUGGGACUGAGACACGGCCCAGACUCCUACGGGAGGCAGCAGUGGGGAAUAUUGGACAAUGGGCGAAAGCCUGAUCCAGCAAUGCCGCGUGAGUGAUGAAGGCCUUAGGGUUGUAAAGCUCUUUUACCCGGGAUGAUAAUGACAGUACCGGGAGAAUAAGCUCCGGCUAACUCCGUGCCAGCCGCCGCUGUAA
rnacentral:rRNA from 1 species